rnacentral:rRNA from 1 species
CCUACGGGUGGCAGCAGUAGGGAAUUUUGCGCAAUGGGCGAAAGCCUGACGCAGCAACGCCGCGUGAUCGAGACGCCCUUCGGGGUGUAAAGAUCUGUCAGUGGGGACGAAGAUGACGGUACCUGGGGAGGAAGCUCCGGCUAACUACGUGCCAGCAGCCGCGGUAAUACGUAGGGAGCGAGCGUUGUCCGGAAUUACUGGGUGUAAAGGGAGCGUAGGCGGGACUGCAAGUUGGGUGUCAAAUCUACCGGCUCAACCGGUAGCCGCACUCAAAACUGCAGUUCUUGAGUGAAGUAGAGGCAGGCGGAAUUCCUAGUGUAGCGGUGAAAUGCGUAGAUAUUAGGAGGAACACCAGUGGCGAAGGCGGCCUGCUGGGCUUUUACUGACGCUGAGGCUCGAAAGUGUGGGGAGCAAACAGGAUUAGAUACCCCAGUAGUC